rnacentral:rRNA from 1 species
UACGAACUGUGCAAACGUUAUUCGGAAUCACUGGGCUUAAAGGGUGCGUAGGCGGUCCUUUAGGUAGGGUGUGAAAGCCCCCGGCUCAACCGGGGAAUUGCGCCCUAAACCGGGUGACUGGAGUGAGAUAGGGGUGUGUGGAACUUCCGGUGGAGCGGUGAAAUGUGUUGAUAUCGGAAGGAACGCCGGUGGCGAAAGCGACACACUGGGUCUCAACUGACGCUGAGGCACGAAAGCCAGGGGAGCAAACGGG